UACUCCAAACAGUAAGAUGCAGAACCUGCGAAGGGCUGUAGUUACAUAUAAUGUAUUGGUUGAAACUGCAAUAAAAUUGAAGUGUAUAAAUGUUCAUGAAUGACGUGCAAGAAUAUCCAGUGGGUCUGUAUAUCUUCUCUAUCGCCUUAGAGUACAGUCAAGUUCUUCCAUCACAAGGAAGAGAGAGAGAGAGAGAGAGAGAGAGAGAGAGAGAGAGAGAGAGAGCAUGCAUAUUUGUGUGUAUUUUUUUUACUUGGAAUAAUGAUGCCUAUUACGCGUUCAAGUCCUGUAUAUCCUUUGUCAUCCACCCAGUUUUCAUCUCGCUUCUCAUUGGACGUUGUGGGAAUUCUCAGCAUCGUGAUUGGUGGGGGGUUGAGUUGGGGUGCACAGGAAGGACCCCCCCACUUGGGUGCUCGAGCCGAGGACCAACCGCCCAGCAGGCACCUCGCCAUUCACUCACAAGAUCUCGGGGAACGAAGGACUCCAGCCUCUCACUCUUGGUAAAUACACUUCUCUGCUGAUCCAUCCAGUCUACGCAGCAGUCAGUCGUAUCACAGACGUCAACUGCACCAAGGCAGCUCGUGAAGAUGGCGGGAACUGGAGAGACGCACCUCAAACUGUCCGUUCUUCAACGCUCCACCGUUGUCCAAGAUGGAACUCCAAGUGUCUAUGCUAUUCCAAUGGAGCAGACGGCGCGGGAUGAAGACGGGCACUUUGUAAAGCUAGAGUUACGGACGUAGCAUUCAGAGCAAUGCAAACAAAGUUAUCAUGAUGGUGGGGGAAACAGGUUCUGGAAAGACAACACUCAUCAAUGGCCUGGUUAACUACGUCCUUGGAGUUGACUGGGAUGACAAAUUCCGCUUCAAAAUGAUUGUGGAGGACAGUAACGCCAACCAGGCAGAGAGCCAGACAAAGGAUGUUACUUCCUACACUCUACAUCACCAGGACGGUUUCCGAACGCCUUAUUCUCUCACCAUCAUCGACACUCCAGGUUUAGGCGACACUAAGGGCACUGAGCGCGACAAAGAAAUAAUGGAGCAGUUUCGCAAGUUUUUCAACCACCCCAGGAGAUGCUGGCAUCAGCCACAUCGAUGCUAUUGGCUUUGUGGUUCAGACGUCCCAGGCAAGACUCUCUGUAGGGCAAAAAUACGUCUUUGACAGUAUCCUUGCACUGUUUGGCAAAGACAUAAGUGACAAUAUUUUCCUCCUAGUUACUUUUGCUGACGGACAGGAGCCCGAGGUGCUAAGUGCUGUGAGGAAAAGCUGAAAUACCAUACAAGGAAUACUUCCAGUUCAAUAAUUCAGCUAUUUACACCCAGACGGGUAAAAACCAGAGAUUUACCUCUCUUUUCUGGGAAAUGGGGAUGUGAAAGUUUCCAGAUCUUACUGGAGAAACUCCUCCAUGUCGAAAGCAAGAGCCUUGUUAUUACUAAAGAUGUCCUUCGUGAGCGCAAAAACAUUGAAGUAUAUAAUGAAGGCAUAGAAAAGGAAAUCAGAGUAGGCCUAAGUAAACUGAAUACCCUAGAAAAGGAGAAGAAAUUGUUAAAAGAACAUGAAUUUGCAAUAGAAAAAAACAAAAAUUACACAGUAGAAGUUGAGGAAGAUGUCU